GCCGGGUGCGGUGGCGCAUGCCUGUAAUCCAAGUUACCGGAGGUGAGACUGGUGGAUCGUUUGAGCUCAGGAUCUCUGAGCUGCAGUGGACUAUGUUGAUCGGGUGUCCCAAUAAGUUCGGUAUCGAUAUGGUGCUCCUGGGGGAGGCCGGGACCACCAGGUUGUCUAAGGAGGGGUGCACCGGCCCAGGUCGGAAACGGAGCAGGCCAAAGCCCCCGUGCCGCUCAGUAGUGGGAUCGUGCCUGUGAAUAGAGGCUGUAGUGAAGCCUGAGUAAUACAGCGGGACCCAGUCUUUU
rnacentral:SRP_RNA from 1 species